CUCCACCGAGCGCAUCCUCCGGCCGCCGCCGACGCCAGGCGCGCUCCACUCCCCCAUUGCGUGUGACUUCUCCCCUCCCCACCAGCCCGCGCGACGCGCUCGCUUCCUCUCCCCAUCGCGCGCGCUGUUUCUUCCCUCCCCACCCGCCCGCGCGCGCGCCAGGCGCGGGCCCGCCGCAGGCUGCGCUCGCCUCUCCUCACAUCCCCAGCGCGAGCCAGCCGCGGGACCGCCAUCCUCGCCGCGCUGCUCUCGCUCCGCGGCCGCAUCACCUCCCCACUCCAAAUUUGCAGCCAGGCCCACAUGGCCCGUCCCUCCCUCUCCCGCGAUGUGCGAGGCCGCGGCGGCAAGCCAAACGACGGAUCCCCUUCCUCUUCCAUCUCUCCGUCCACUUCUGUAAAAGCACAUGCCUUCUCUUCACCUGUUCGACUUCAGGGUAGGAUCUCUAACGAUUGAAUGUUGCCGUUUUAAUUUAGGACUUUACCAGGUCUCUUGAAUUCCUAUUGAAUUUUCAUGCGUCGUAGCUGCCCAUAUAUAUAUGCUCACAGUUUACAGCAAGCAUGGGAUACCAUGCAGUAGCCAGAGGAGGUCAUGGCCUGAAAGCAUUGGAAUCUCUUGCAACUGCCAGCUCUCAUUGUGCUGGUUGCAGUUCUUGAUACUCGGAUGUUGUGCUUUUUCUUGAUUGAUUUUUACACCACCACGCUGCCAUUAUGUUUGCUGCUUUGAUAUUCUGUUGUUCAUCCAGUAGGUCGUCUAGGUAACUCCUUUCUUUCACCUAUCUACAUUCUAUUUUCACUUGGCCAUAUCUCAAUUUAUUUGGUUUGUGAUUUUUUUUCAAGGGUACAGAUAGUUUCAUUGAGCAGUACUUGAUUCGUUAGUUUUUAUAUCACAUUAUGUGCGUGUUCUAAUAUAUACUAUAAAUCUCUAAUAUCUUUUUGUUUUCCAGAAAAAUGUUAUCGGAAGCUAUUGUCUUCAUAACUUCGUCUAUGAUGUUGCCUGCGCAUAAUCUGAUUGGUACUACAUGCUUAACAGUUGCUCAAGAUAAUGCCUGGAACAAAAUCACAGUUUGUUUGGCCGAAUUUUUUCUCAGACAUCUCUGCAAUAUCUGGCUUUCCUUUGUGCCCAACAUCUAUUUCCUCGCUGAUACCAAUUGCAAGAACAAGUUUUAAAUUUCCAGCAAGUGGUCAUAUGUAACCACUCCUUUCCAAUUAACUGCAAAAUGUUGAGUUCAUUCUGAGAUCUAAUAGGCAGAGCUCAAUAAAUUCGUGGAGUGUAUGAUUAUGUUGUCAGACUGUUUCCUAUUCUCAUUGGGGUAUUAUUUCAGUGUAAGCAUAUGACAUCUCCCCAUUGCCCAUUCAUAGAUCUAUAAUAGUAAUAUGUAUACCAGAUUGCAUCAAGUGAGUUGCUUAAGUUUAAAUUAACCAUAUUGCAGCUCUAUUAUUUUUAUUUUCCUUACCUCUUCAGUUUUGCAUGUUGAAUUGUUGUGAUGGACAGUGGCCGGAGCUUAUGUUCAUGAGCUAUAUGAAAAUAAUUACUCUGUUGAAAUGACAACUGGUUUGUUCAAAGAUAUAGACAAUCUAUGUACAGAAUAUUCAAAUAUGCUACCAUAUAAUGUAAUCUAUGUUGGCAUAUUUUAAGUAAUGUACAAUCCUUCUAUUGCUUUUUCAAA